GGGCGGUUAGCUCAGUGGUUAGAGCGCCUGCUUCACACGCAGGAGGUCACUGGUUCAAGUCCAGUACUGCCCACCA
rnacentral:tRNA from 1 species